GACGAAGGUGGCGAGCGUUGUUCGGAAUCACUGGGCAUAAAGCGCCCGUAGGCGGCGACGUAAGUUGGGUGUGAAAUCCCUCGGCCCAACCGAGGAACUGCGCCCAGUACUGCGUUGCUUGAGGAUCCAAGGGGUGCAUGGAAUUCCCGGUGGAGCGGUGAAAUGCGUUGAUAUCGGGAGGAACUCCGGCGGCGAAAGCGGUGCACUGGUGGAUUACUGACGCUGAGGUGCGAAAGCCAGGGGAGCAAACGGG
rnacentral:rRNA from 1 species